rnacentral:misc_RNA from 1 species
AUAUAAUUAUUUGUUUGAAGAUGAAGCAUCAUCAGUUUACCAAUGAAGAAAUUAUUAUUUUUCGAAAAAAGUUGCUUGCGUUUUAUGAUAAAAAUAAAAGAGAUUUACCAUGGAGAUUAUUGGCAAAGUCUUUAAAAGAUUCUGACCAACGUGGUUAUGCAGUAUGGGUAUCAGAGAUAAUGCUUCAACAGACACAAGUUGCUACAGUUAUUAACUACUAUAACAACUGGAUGAAGAAAUGGCCAUCAAUUGCAAGCUUGGCUAGUGCUACUCUUGAGGAAGUAAAUGAAGCAUGGUCUGGUCUUGGUUAUUAUUCAAGAGGAAGGAGGUUGCAUGAAGCAGCAAAAAAAUUAAUAGAAAGUGGUCAACCAAUGCCUAAAUCAUCAAAAAGUCUUGUAAAAGAGCUGCCUGGUAUUGGUCCUUAUACAGCUAGUGCCAUUGCUUCAAUUGCAUUUAAUGAGGUGUGUGGAGUUGUAGAUGGCAAUGUCAUUCGAGUUUUAACCAGAAUAAGAAUGAUCGGUGCUGAUUCAUCUUCAAAAGCUGUUAAUGAUUUUAUUUGGGAGUUAGCAAACACUAUUGUUGAUGAAGAGAGACCAGGUGAUUUUAAUCAAGGUAUGAUGGAGUUGGGUGCUACUGUUUGUACACCAAAAUCGCCACAAUGCUCUCAGUGCCCAUUAUCAACUCUCUGUAUGUCCUACAAAAAAUUUAUUAUCAUUAAGGUAACUUCCAAAGGAAUAAAAUGUUCAAAAGAUGGUAACAUUCCAAACAAGAAAGAAGAAAUAAUAGAUAUUGAAAAUAUCCAAUCCUGUAAAUUCUGUUUGGCUGACAGUACUCCAUGGGACUCAAAAUUAGGAGUAAUGAAUUUUCCAAGAAAGAACAAAAAUAAAUCUCCAUUGGCUGAAGAGUAUGAUGUUGCAGUUAUUCAAAACAAUAAUAAAUUUCUCCUUGUUCAGAGGCCUAAUAAAGGGUUGUUGGCAGGAUUAUGGGAGUUUCCACUUUUUCUUCGAACAGAAAACUCAAAAAAUGAAAUAUUGAGUUUGCAAGUUGAAAAACGAUUUUCAAUAAAAAUUGAAAAGAUAAAGGAAAUCAAUACGAUUACCCAUAUAUUCUCACAUCGUCAUCAUACCUAUCAUGUGGUAACUGGAGUCACUGAGGCAAUCACAGAUAGCAGCUCUGACAAUGAAGGUCUUAAAAUAGUAUGGUUGACUAAAGAUUCUCUGUUAAAGUCUGCAAUAUCAACUGCAGUAAAAAAGAUCUUUAAAGAAUGCGAGGAGCAUGGAGUUGUUCAAGCGAAAUCGGCUGUAAAAAGAAAACGUGAGGUGGCAGUGAAGGGACAACGAACGCUAGAUGCACUUUUUUCUCUUCAAACAAACAAAAAGAAGAAAGAGUAGCUGUUACUCAAGAAAAAAGAUCGAUAUACUCAAAACCCAAAAUUUGGAUUUACUGCGUUUUGAAAAUGAGCUCUUCAUAUGUUUUGUGGUGAUGUUUACAUACAUAUUUUGUUGUGAUGUUUAAUGCUUUGAAAGCCGUAAUGUUCAUAAUGCCACAUAUUUUUUACAAUGCAGUAUAACCUUUUUAAAAUUCACGAAAUGCAAUGAAAUCACAAGUGUUUAUGUCAAAAGAUUACUAAACCUAUAUUCUUUCGUGGAGCAUUGAAAGUAGAAACAAAUGCUGCUAUAAAGUCUUUGGUGGAGCAUCGAAAGUAUGAACAAAUGCUGCUAUAAAGUCUUUUAAUACUAAUGAGCGCAACUUCUGGUCUCUUGGGUACAACUGGACCCAGUUAUUCAAUCCGUUGACGCAGUAACUCAAUUGCUAUUCUUACAGCACUAAAGGAUUUGAAGCAAUAUAUAAAAAGUACGCUGUACGGCUAUUUAUUUUAACGAUAAAAGUCUUUCUUAUGUUUUUA